UAAUUAGUUUUGGAAACAAUUUUUUUUAAAUGCAAAAAAAGAAAAUUUUAAUAAAAUAUGCACAUGCGCAUAUGUCUCCAACAGUAGCUUUCAAUUGGGCAACUAUCCUUUUUCUUAAAUCGACUAUCAGAGGCAGCUUUUUCCUAUGCGCGUCCAUGAAAUCCUUUGAGAGCUUUGAAACACGUUUUCCAAAGCAUUUUUUUUGGUCGUGAGUGCAUAAAAACCAAGGUUUUAAAAGGCUCUCUAUAAAAUUAAUAUAUGCCUGUAUGACUAUAAAUAAGAGCUUUCUUUGCCCAGCACUGAUAUAGAAAUCUUAAAAACGUAUCUGUGAAUGGGUGAGCUCUGGACUAAGCCAUAGAAGGCGGUUGGAAUGCCGCAAGCUUAAGAAGUUAGGUUUCCCAUAAAAUCAAUACCAUAAUGAAAGCUGUGUGUGUUGCUCGAGAAAAACUAGCACAGCAAAUGGAAAAAAAAAUAAAUAAAUUUCAAAACUUUUAGUUGUGGUUCGUUCGAGCAACUAGUUUCAAAGAAAAACCUGUUUUGUGAGCUUUAAGCUUUGAUUUUAGCAGUUUUUGGAAAAGCGCUCCGAACAAAAUAUUGCACUCUUGCAAAGCUUUUUAAGCCCUCUACUCAUUUUAUAUAAAAGCUCUAUCUGGCGAGUUCUAUAAGCGUAAUUGAAAAAUUUAAUUGCAAUAAAAAUUCCUUAAAUACCUAUUAGCUUAGGCGUUAUUAUAUCAACAUAAGAAAAAUUAGAGAUCAUUAAAUUUAUUUUUAAUGAAAAAAAUCUUAGUUUUUAAGUAAAUUGUGCAUAUUUUUUGUUGAAAACAAUGUUAAAAAUUAAUGAAACGAAAAUGUAGCGGAACUUACGUACCGAGGUAUUUAGGUAAACAUAAAUCCUUAAAUUAGUGGUUAAAAGUUUUAAAGCAUGUGAUGACAGAAAAAAAGUAUUUUUUUACGAAAAAAAGUCUUAAAAGGCACAUGUUGAUCAGCCAAUUUCGGCAAUUAAAAAGGAUCCAAAUAGUAAAAAGCUUGCGGCCAAGUAUUGAGCUCCAUUAACUUUCGAAAAAAGUGGUACGUUAUUUAACUUUUAAUCACAAGAUAUUAUAUCGCAAAGCUCGAGUGAAGCCUUCACAAGAAUUAAUUUCAAAAUUUCUCCGCAUAAAUUUAUGUAUUGCAAAAAAACUUAAACACCUUUUUAAAAUCAAACAAAUCUAGAUCUUCUUAGUACAAAGCUGUAAAAAAAACCUAUUAAAUUUAAAGUACAUCACAGUCUUCAAAAAAGUGUAAUUUUUUAUUUCUCAUAUAAUUCAGUGAAGUUGUAAAAAUUAGUUUUAAAAGACAAUAGAGAACAAAUUGCUUUUUCACAAAAAAAAAUUCAACUCAACUUAAUUAUAGCAAUAAAGAUAACAAAUCGAAAUAUUCUUGCCGUAAAUUAGCGCAAAUUUUAUUGCUAAAAAUUAGCUGUGUGCUUUUACACAGAACAAAGUAUAAAAUAUUGCUACGUAAUUUCAUAAACAAACUCUUUAUAUUAGUAUUGCAACUAAUUAUUUAAAACAUAAUGACAGACGUACAGAUAUGUAUGCCUACAUACGUUACAAUUAUACUGUUAAUAAAUACAUACAUACAUACAUAAAGUACAUGCGUAAAUGUAAAAGUAUGUACGAACAACAGUUCGUUGUUUAUGUCUUUUUUGUGUUUAUAAUAAUAAUAAGCAAAAAUAAUUUAUUACGUAAAUAAAUUUUUUUUUUUUUUUUAUAUAAACUAACUUUUUUCAACAUCAUUCUCAAAAUGUUUCAACUUUUUGUAAUUGAAAUUAGGGCGCGUACGCUGCACUGCUAUCAGCUGAUACUAACUUAUAUGUAUGUAUGUAUGUAUUCGGCAAUUUGGUGUACGCGCUAACUGUAGAAAUGUAGUAAUUUUUAAAUAGUUUUAGUAAAACAGCCAGCAACAGCUGAAAUGUUUAACAAACGGCGCGUAAAAAAAAA